rnacentral:tRNA from 1 species
UAUAAGUUAAUUUAAUAAAAAUCUUGACUUGUGGCGUCAAAUUUGGAUUUCUCCACUUAUAA